GCUGCUGUGUGACUGUCAGGUGUGUUGUGCUGCAGCCGGAGCCGAGCCUGCAGACGUGAUCUACGCCGACAUCAGCAUCACGGAGGAGGUGCAGCCAAAGAGAGAGACAGAUGUGUCCGCUCCACCUUCUCCCUACUCUGCAAUAAAAACAGGUGGCAGAAAGCAGAAGACUCUGACUCACCUGGAUCCUUCCUUUUCAUACUGAAUUUCUUCUUUUCUUUGUGAAGAUAUCCUGGACCUGCUCUUUCUCUUUUUUUUUUUUCUUCUUGUUGUAUGUCUCCUCUGCUGUGACAGUUGUUUAUUACCCGCACAAAUAAAAACUGAAACUGAGCCACUGAA